GCCGGCGGGCGGGCGGGCAGGCUGGCGGCGGGCGGUGGAGGGACUUGUUGUUCUUCGCGAAGUCGGAGCCCGAGCGCGCGGCGGAGGCGGCGGCCCCGGGGGAGCGCGGGAGGGAGCGCGAGGAGAGCGCGUGCCCGCGAGGAGCCGCCGCGCGCCCGCGCCCCCGCGCGACGCCAGAUGUACGUCAGAAUGAAGUUUCUGGCUUUGGGUUGAAAACCAGCCUCUUCAGUUAGAAAAAUAGUCGCCCGAAAGGUGUUCCACGUUCUAAGUGCUGACUGCGCCCGCUCCUGACCAGCGGCCCCCUCUGGGCUGAAGGGGACGCGCGUGGUCACUCCCACUUGGAUGGGCAAGUGGGUGCACGCAGCGGACGUGCAGACACACCGUUCCAGACGCAGCCUGGCACGGGCCGCUGAGCUGCUCGGGUGACUGGAGUGGCAUCAGAAAGCCCCUGGGAGCGCGGGCUCUCUGCACACGGCAUCGCUAAGACUUGUCGGUCCGUGGACGUGGGACAGCCCAGCUGGAGCAUCCUCGUGGGCAGCUGUUGGAGAGGCGUUUUUGGCGCUGACGGUUGCUGAUGCGGUGCGAACGUCGGAGCUCAGAGUGGGAGUCAGAACAGGAAGCAACAGCUGCUCACACCUGGCCUCACCCCAAGGCGCUGGUGCUCACAGCACAGGCCCGGCGGGCAGCGCGGGACGGCCGUGUGGCUACCGGGCACUGGGACAAGUGAUUUUCCGCAGUUCUGUCCGGGUGCCUGUCCCAGGUUAUGACGACUAACCCCAAACCGAACAAGGCGUUAAAGGUAAGGGGCCACCCCGUCUCCACCGCGCAGCCCCCUGUCCCAGGACUGCCCGGACCGUGAGGGAGGAAGGCCUGUCACCUGGAAGAGGGCGGGAGGAGGUGUCCCCGAGAGAUGUCGACAGAAUCGAGGGUUGCAGCCUUCGGAGACGCAGGCUUACGUCCAAGGACAUAACUCCUGGGUGGAGGGGGCGGGAGGGAUGGUGCCUCCUGGCCAGGAUGUGCUCAUCGCCCCGGCACCCUGGCGUGGGCAGUGCGGCCUCUGGUCCCGCCAGGCCCCGGGCAGGGCACGUGUGAACGGUGCUGCUCCAGCUCCCCGGGCCUGGCUCCGGCUGCCCGCCUCCUGGGGCUCUCAGCUUUGGAGGCCAGCGUGUGCCCUUGGGCCGGCCGUCUCCUGGCUCGGGAGCAGAGCUGGGUCCCGCUGGAGCGGGGACUCUCGGUAUUUGUGGGCUGUGCCUCUCCAAGCCCCUCCUGAGGCCCUGCAGGUGGAUGUGGCCGUGUCCCGCCAGGCCCUGGCUGGGCCUCCUGGGUCCGAGGGUGCGGAACAGUAGGCUGCCUCGCCUUCCCCUCGCUCCCCUGCCCGUGUCAGUCGUGCACCAGGCGCUGGAGACCCACAGAGGGCAGCACGCGUGCAGGCUGCGGCCUCGCAGAGUUUGGGUGGCAGACAGUAACUGGGUAAUGGCAGGUGGGGCCAACGGCCCCCAUCGGGGACCGUCCUGCCUUACAUCCUGUGCACAAUGUUGAGUGACCCCACAGUGACCGUCCCCAUUCCCUGAUGGAGUGAAGGCCAGCCUGCGAUGCAGGGGGGCCCUGCCAGGAGCCGGGCUCGUCCACGGCAACGUUCCAAGUGGUCCUCUGGGGUCCCUGCAGCGAGGCCUCCCUCGCCCCGGUCCUGACCCCGUGCUGUGGCCCCGCAGGUCAAGAAGGAGGCGGGCGAGAACGCCCCAGUGCUCAGCGACGAUGAGCUGGUGUCCAUGUCGGUGCGGGAGCUGAACCAGCACCUGCGGGGCCUCACCAAGGAGGAGGUGGUCCGUCUGAAGCAGCGCCGGCGCACGCUCAAGAACCGCGGCUACGCCGCCAGCUGCCGCAUCAAGCGGGUGACGCAGAAGGAGGAGCUGGAGCGGCAGCGCGUGGAGCUGCAGCAGGAGGUGGAGAAGCUGGCGCGUGAGAACAGCAGCAUGAAGCUGGAGCUGGACGCCCUGCGCUCCAAGUACGAGGCCCUGCAGACCUUUGCCCGCACCGUGGCGCGCGGGCCCAUCACGCCCACCAAGGUGGCCACCACCAGCGUCAUCACCAUCGUCAAGUCCGCUGAGAUCUCCAGCUCCGUGCCCUUCUCGGCCGCCUCCUAGUGCCGGCCCCGGUUGGGCGAGGGGGCCGGCGGUGGGGCCAGAGGGGCUGUCCCUCGUGCUUGUUGGAGGGUCCCAUGGGGAGCAGACCCCUGAAACCCCGAGUCCAAGCACAGGCUCCCGUGGGGCUCCUGGCGGGGCGAGGUCACAGGGGCCUGAUGAAGAGUUAGGGGCCUGUGAGCCCGUGUGCCGCACGCCUGCCCACACGCCCACACACACGCACAUGCACACACACGCACCUCGCCUUCCUCUGGGCCCUGCCAGCUCUCUGCGGACUGUCUCUCUUCCGGAGCCUGUGUCCUGUGCCGGGGGAGUUGGGAUGUCUGCAGGGAGGGCCCUCAGCAGGUCCCUGGCCCUGUGGCCUGGGUGGCAAGGGCUCCGUCUUCCACCCCUCCCACCAGCAGCCUGUCAACACACGUCAGCGUGCCUGUCCCCCUGCCACCUCAGAAGAGCACCUGCAGCACCAGGGGCCUGGGAGGAGUGGCUGGUUGCAAGUGGUCCUGGGGGGGCCUGUGGGUGCAGGUGCAUGAGUGUUGUGAGUUUUCUCUCUGUGUCGGGGUGGCCGGAAGGAGGUCCCUAUUGAGGAGCAGUGGCAGCCUGGCCUGGGGACCCAGCCCCCACUGCGGCCGCCUCGCAGAGCCCGGGAAGGUGGUGCCCAGCAUGGGAAGGGGGCGAUGGGCCUUGGGGGCUGGGAGGUGGGUGGGGAGCAGGUUCUGUGCGGAACGGCGGGCUGUCAGCGAGGCCUCCGGAGCGGCCAUGGAGCUGGGGGGCGCCCGGCUGCCUGUGGCUCCCACUGCUGGAGGAGGUGAGAGAGCAGGGGGCUGGGUGGGAUCAGAAGACGAGGCGGGCUUGAAUGGGGCAGAGGAGGUGAUGGUGGGCGAGGUGGCAGGCUCUGGGCCAGGAAGUCCACACGGACCGGACGGGCCUCCCGGAAGCACCUGGAUGGUGUGUCAGCACAGAGGAGACGAGGGGACUCUGCGAGCCUGGUGCUGAGUUCCCUGGAACCUUCACCUGCCCUUUCUGGGGCAGGUGACCUUUGCUGGGGCUUCCCUUCCUUGAGAGCCACCGCGGGGGCUCCCUGUGUGGGCUGGGCAUGGACGGCCACUUCUACCCCUCCUGGGAGGAUGCUGGGGCCACGGCCCUGGGUCUGAGUGAGCUGCUGAGCCCCAUCACUGGCCAGAAGCCGCUGGGCUCCAGCUCCCGGUUUCCUCUUGUGCCCUGCCACCCAGGGAGACCCCCAGCAAGCAGGUGUCAGCCAUGCCAGGGUUGGGGGAGGACUGACAGCCCCAAGGGCUGCGUCCAGCUUCUGUGUCUGCUGGCAGGAGCAGACAGGGCACCUGGGCCUCUCCAGCAGCAUUGCCACAUGGCCUUGUCCCUGUCCUGGGAGAAGGCGGAGGGUCUGGGGCGCUGGAUCCUUACACAACCUGGUGUGUAACAGAAAGGCCCGGUGUGUAAGCAAAAGCUGUUGAUCGCAUAGCCAUGGUAGGUAAUCCACAUUGGAUGUCAAUAAGGACCAUGGGGAAAUAUUUAAAAAAGAGAGAAAAGUAUAUAUAUAUAUAUAUAAAAUUAUAUACACAUUUUAUCGUACAGACUUUUCGUAACUCUUUUCCUGUUGGGUACUGUCAGCCUCUUAGAGCAGAGCAGCCGUCGAGGGCAGGGCAGUGGGAACCUGUCGCCACCCCGCCUGGCUCCUCAGGCACCAGCUCGCAGCCCGAGGUGGGAGGCCCGGUCGCCUCCCGCUGCCCUUGGUCUCCCCUCCUGCCCAUCUGACUUGGGUCCCGCAGAUGGCCUGGGCACCUGGGCGCACCCCCUGCCCACCCUGGCCGGCUGUCCUGCCCAGUGGCCGCCCCGGGUUCACAGAGCGCCCCGUCCCGUGGGGUGCAGGUGGGCGAGUGCUGGCUGGGGCCUCGGAGGAGCUGUCCCCGCAGCUGCCCAUUGCCCUCCCGGGAUCAGGGGCCAGGGAAGGAAGACUGGCUCGCUCCCUCCUGCUUUUCUUUUUGGAUCAUUGAGAUGUCAUUGUCACAAUUUUAAUAUAUGGGUUUUUUAUUUAAGACAAAAGGCAGGGACGUCUUUGUGGCGUGGGUUUGUCCUCCUGUGCUUCUGACUCACGAGUCCCUGACACCCGCAGGGCCUGGCCCCCCGGGGGACGGGGCCUCCCCUUCGUAAGCUCGGCACCCACCGGUUUUCCCCGCCUCUGCCUGCCCAGCAGUUUCAUUUCAAUAUUUAUUUUUGUGCUGCUUUUAUCAUGAUAUAAAUUAUUGAGAAGAGACCUUAUGUCGUGGCCCACACCUGCCCUGUCCCCUCACGGCCACCACCUAAUUUAUUGCUGUACAUCUCUGCUGUGACGCUUUUGUACCUUUGCAAUAAAGACUUUUCUGGUUUCA
ensembl:lncRNA